GGACACAGCAUGGCACCAUCAAACUUCGAAUCUCGUCAAUUCCAAUCUCAUUACUUCUCUAAAAUUUUAUCCUGCUUGCAGCUCAAUCCCACUUUCUGCCGAACAAAGAAAAGUAAAUCCCCAUUUGUAUAAAGACAUAGCUCCGACCCACUUCAAUAUUCUCCGAUUAAGGAGAAAGGGUUGAGGAAGAAUGAAUUCCUAUGAUCGGAUCAGCCGUGUUUGUACCUUUUUGGUCGCCGGCGGCUGCUCUGAAUAAUGGACGUGGGCAAGGAGACGCUUUAACCUUUUCCUCUCUCUUCUUUUAUUCACUUACUGUUGAUGACUGAUGCUUACUUCAAAUGAAAGGGAGACUUAUGGAGGGAAAACUUUUUUGAGGUCGUGACCAAGUGCCGGUGGGUUCCUGAGAUUUAUGCUCGCUCUGGUUAUCCAUAAUAUGUUUGUGGCUGGUAUUUGAACAUGGUAUUUUUCAGUCAGAGCGUCAGGUAUGAUUUGUCUAUUUCUCCUCACUGUGGAAUCCAAGAGAGGAGGGCAUUUUCAAUUCCUGGGCAUCUUAAUUAGUUAUUUUUUAGAUUUCUUUUUUUCCUUCUUAGAUUACAUAUGGUGCUUACCUUGUCAUGGAUCAAUUUUGGUUCCAAAGAAUGCUGCUUAUGUUGUUCUUUAACUAUGACGGAAUAUUGGAUUAUUUGUUGGCUA